rnacentral:rRNA from 1 species
GUACACUCCUACGGGAGGCAGCAGUGGGGAAUUUUGGACAAUGGGCGAAAGCCUGAUCCAGCAAUGCCGCGUGAGUGAAGAAGGCCUUCGGGUUGUAAAGCUCUUUUGUCAGGGAAGAAACGGUGAAAGCUAAUAUCUUUUGCUAAUGACGGUACCUGAAGAAUAAGCACCGGCUAACUACGUGCCAGCAGCCGCGGUAAUACGUAGGGUGCAAGCGUUAAUCGGAAUUACUGGGCGUAAAGCGUGCGCAGGCGGUUUUGUAAGUCUGAUGUGAAAUCCCCGGGCUCAACCUGGGAAUUGCAUUGGAGACUGCAAGGCUAGAAUCUGGCAGAGGGGGGUAGAAUUCCACGUGUAGCAGUGAAAUGCGUAGAUAUGUGGAGGAACACCGAUGGCGAAGGCAGCCCCCUGGGUCAAGAUUGACGCUCAUGCACGAAAGCGUGGGGAGCAAACAGGAUUAGAUACCCUUGUAGUCCCAU